rnacentral:lncRNA from 10 species
CCUGGGUCCUGCUGGCAACCAGCAGCACCCAGUGGCCAGCAGCGUACUCUUUCACCUCUUCUUGGGUGACUUUGUGGAAUGCUCCAAUGUGACAUCUCCCUGUGAACGCCUUUCCUGACACCCUAAAAAGUGUCAGGAAUUUCCAGCAAGUUCCAGAGAGCAGGUUUCCAGCAAGUUUGGUCAGUAUGACACCACAGCGAUAUCUCUGCCAUUCACUGAACUUGGAUUCUUCCUUCUUCAGUGAGAGAUGUUCAAGAAAAAGAACAACUUCAGUGGAAGAAGAAGAAGAUAGGAGCCCAGGUCCUGUGUUUCACCAAGACAGCCGUGCAAAGCAGAUGCUGCCAAAAAGGUGCAAAGUGGUUUGUCAGCUCUUCUGCAUGUUCUAACAAAUUAGACAUGCAUCCCAAAAGGUUUCCUAGACUUUCCAUCACCACCAGUGAAUUCUGAGUGACAAUAGUGUGGAAUUUGGAAGAAUGGAAGAGAAACUGAAGUGGAGAGAUGGUGAAAGAGAAGAAAAAAUGAAGAAAGAUGCUUGCAAAAAUACUGCUGUGGGUCCUGAGAUGAGGAUUCUGGGAGGGCUGAAAUGGAUGCCCCUGACAGCUCCCUUUGAGUUCCUGUUCAUCUGAAGUACACCAGCUUUCUAGAUAUGCUGUCACUUUCCUUCUGCAGAGCCACAGUGGUGUCCUGUCUUCUCAGACCUCUUCUCACCUCAAAUCACUUAGGACUCGGCCACCAGACAGAUUUGGGAUUUCAGAACUUUUCAGAUGUUAGAAAGGUAAAUGGUAUAUAUUGCAUAUGUAGUAUUUCCAGUAGAGUCUGGGUCAGCACCUCAUAAGCAAAUGUAUUAAUAUUUUGACCACAACAUAUAUGCAUCGUCAUCCUCAGGUCAGUAGUGACUAUGUAGAACCUCAUGUCAAAAAGGUCAGAUUUUUUGCCACCUAUGGAGUUUUUAUGUCAAAUAUGUGAAAAACUUUUGGUUGCAGGGCUUUUGGGAUUUUGGAACUGAGGAUAAGGUAUUGUGGACCAUAUCAUUACCAGUUCCUUCCUCUUUCAUCAAGGGCAUGAGCAUGAAGAUGCUGACAAAGCUGUUCCUACACUUCCUGUGCUGGCUGGGAAGGGAUCUGAUUCGGGCUGAGCCUUAAGAAUCACAGUUCCAAGCUUUCUUCUCAUUCCAGAUUUUAGUCGGGAAAGUAGGCAUUCUGGAAGUAGAGUCCGUAUCUAUACUUUAUAUGUUCCCCUUAGGUUUGAUGAGCAAAAAGUAAUAAAGGAAACACAAACUCAGGAAAGAAAAGAUUUUUCUAGGAAAGAUCUAUUUACACUACUUAGGCCUCUACCCUUCUUCCCUUGGGAGUUUCUUAGCUUAGCUUGGAAGAUCACAGAUUAAAGUACAAUAUAGCAAGUAUUAUUAAAAACAACCUGUAAAACUGCAUUAUCCCAAAGAUUUAGCAGCUAAUUUUCUGUUGCCUUUAGUUCUCACAUCAUUUUUUUUUUCAGGGUAUAACCUUCUUUAAAUUUUAUGCCCUGCUCUCAAAUUCCUUCUGGGUUUAAUGACUAAUCUCUUUAUUUGUGUUUACCCUGGUGAAGCCUGUAGAAAGAAAAUCAUAAAUUAAUGGCAUAUAUUUGCAGCUAUAAACGGGACAGAUUCAGAAAUAUACAAACAUGCCUAGUAACCAAUUUCCUGAAAUUGCAAUGCUCAACUCCCAAUUAACCUUAGAAUUUACAAGUCUAAUCAAAU